rnacentral:rRNA from 1 species
AACGAACGCUGGCGGCAGGCUUAACACAUGCAAGUCGAGCGCCCCGCAAGGGGAGCGGCAGACGGGUGAGUAACGCGUGGGAACGUACCCUUUGCUACGGAAUAGCUCCGGGAAACUGGAAUUAAUACCGUAUGUGCCCUACGGGGGAAAGAUUUAUCGGCAAAGGAUCGGCCCGCGUUGGAUUAGCUAGUUGGUGGGGUAAUGGCCUACCAAGGCGACGAUCCAUAGCUGGUCUGAGAGGAUGAUCAGCCACAUUGGGACUGGGACACGGCCCAACCUCCUACGGGAGGCAGCAGUGGGGAAUAUUGGACAAUGGGCGCAAGCCUGAUCCGGCCAUGCCGCGUGAGUGAUGAAGGCCUUAGGGUUGUAAAGCUCUUUCACCGGAGAAGAUAAUGACGGUAUCCGGAGAAGAAGCCCCGGCUAACUUCGUGCCAGCCGCCGCAGUAAUAC